GCUUAACACAUGCAAGUCGAGGGGCAGCGGGGAGGAAGCUUGCUUUCUCCGCCGGCGACCGGCGCACGGGUGAGUAACACGUAUGCAACCUGCCCCUGUCAGGGGGACAACCCGCCGAAAGGCGGGCUAAACCCGCGUACAUGCCACCGGGGCAUCCCGGAGGCAGGAAAGGCUUCGGCCGGACAGGGAUGGGCAUGCGGCGCAUUAGGCAGUAGGCGGGGUAACGGCCCACCUAACCGACGAUGCGUAGGGGUUCUGAGAGGAAGGUCCCCCACACUGGUACUGAGACACGGACCAGACUCGUACGGGAGGCAGCAGUGAGGAAUAUUGGUCAAUGGUCGGGAGACUGAACCAGCCAAGCCGCGUGAGGGAGGAAGGUACAGAGUAUCGUAAACCUCUUUUGUCAGGGAACAAAGACUGGGACGCGUCCCCGGAUGAGUGUACCUGAAGAAAAAGCAUCGGCUAACUCCGUGCCAGCAGCCGCGGUAAUACGGAGGAUGCGAGCGUUAUCCGGAUUUAUUGGGUUUAAAGGGUGCGCAGGCGGUCUGUUAAGUCAGCGGUCAAAGCCCGGGGCUCAACCCCGGCCCGCCGUUGAAACUGGCAGUCUCGAGUUGGAGAGAAGUAUGCGGAAUGCGCGGUGUAGCGGUGAAAUGCAUAGAUAUCGCGCAGAACUCCGAUUGCGAAGGCAGCAUGCCGGCUCCACACUGACGCUGAGGCACGAAAGCGUGGGUAUCGAACAGGAUUAGAUACCCUGGUAGUCCACGCAGUAAACGAUGAAUGCUGGCUGUCCGGGGGGGACUGACCCCUGGGUGGCGAAGCGAAAGCGAUAAGCUUUCCACCUGGGGAGUACGCCGGCAACGUUGAAACUCAAAGGAAUUGACGGGGGCCCGCACAAGCGGAGGAACAUGUGGUUUAAUUCGAUGAUACGCGAGGAACCUUACCCGGGCUCAAACGGGGAGUGACUCAGGCAGAGACGCCUGUUUCCCACGGGACACUCCCCGAGGUGCUGCAUGGUUGUCGUCAGCUCGUGCCGUGAGGUGUCGGCUUAAGUGCCAUAACGAGCGCAACCCCCGGGUGCAGUUGCUAACAGAUAACGCUGAGGACUCUGCACGGACUGCCGGCGCAAGCCGCGAGGAAGGCGGGGAUGACGUCAAAUCAGCACGGCCCUUACGUCCGGGGCGACACACGUGUUACAAUGGGUGGUACAGCGGGAAGCCAGGCGGCGACGCCGAGCGGAACCCGAAAUCCACUCUCAGUUCGGAUCGGAGUCUGCAACCCGACUCCGUGAAGCUGGAUUCGCUAGUAAUCGCGCAUCAGCCAUGGCGCGGUGAAUACGUUCCCGGGCCUUGAACACACCGCCCGUCAAGCCAUGGGAGCCGAGGGCGCUUGAAGU
rnacentral:rRNA from 1 species